rnacentral:rRNA from 1 species
AUACGGAGGGUGCAAGCGUUAAUCGGAAUUACUGGGCGUAAAGAGUACGUAGGUGGUUUAUUAAGUCAGAUGUGAAAGCCCCGGGCUCAACCUGGGAACUGCAUUUGAGACUGAUAAGCUAGAGUAUGGUAGAGGGGGGUAGAAUUUCUAGUGUAGCGGUGAAAUGCGUAGAUAUUAGAAGGAAUACCAGUGGCGAAGGCGGCCCCCUGGACCAAUACUGACACUGAGGUACGAAGGCGUGGGGAGCGAACAGGAUUAGAUACCCUAGUAGUCC